AAACCUCAAUCCCUCGGGUUUCUUAGCGAACCCGUUGGACUUGGAUCUGGGCGUCUGCCGCGACCCUCCGGGGAUGUCGGCUCGCCUCAAAUGUGUUAGUUGGACGGUGACUGCCCGUCAGCCUGGCGUAAUAAGUUUCGCUGGGCCUCUGGGGCUUGGUCAGUCGGCCUGCUCAUAACAACCAACUUUCUAUGA
rnacentral:misc_RNA from 2 species